rnacentral:tRNA from 5 species
GGGCCCGUAGUUUAGUGGCAAAACUCUUGGCUGGCAGUCAAGUAAUAGGAGUUCGAUUCUCCUCGGGUCCA